GGGAAGGUGGCUCAGUAGUAGAGUGCUUGCCUUGCAUGCAUGAAGCCCUGGGUUCGAUUCUCAGCAGAUUCU
rnacentral:tRNA from 1 species